GAUGAACGCUAGCGGGAGGCCUAACACAUGCAAGCCGAGCGGUUGAGUCUCUUCGGAGACUUGAGAGCGGCGCACGGGUGCGGAACACGUGUGCAACCUGCCUUUAUCUGGGGGAUAGCCUUUCGAAGGGAAGAUUAAUACCCCAUAAUAUACUGGAUGGCAUCAUCUGGUAUUGAAAACUCCGGUGGAUAGAGAUGGGCACGCGCAAGAUUAGAUAGUUGGUGAGGUAACGGCUCACCAAGUCAGCGAUCUUUAGGGGGCCUGAGAGGGUGAUCCCCCACACUGGUACUGAGACACGGACCAGACUCCUACGGGAGGCAGCAGUGAGGAAUAUUGGACAAUGGGUGAGAGCCUGAUCCAGCCAUCCCGCGUGAAGGACGACGGCCCUAUGGGUUGUAAACUUCUUUUGUAUAGGGAUAAACCUAGAUACGUGUAUCUAGCUGAAGGUACUAUACGAAUAAGCACCGGCUAACUCCGUG
rnacentral:rRNA from 1 species